AAAUUGAAGAGUUUGAUCAUGGCUCAGAUUGAACGCUGGCGGCAGGCCUAACACAUGCAAGUCGAGCGGAAACGAGUUAUCUGAACCUUCGGGGAACGAUAGCGGCGUCGAGCGGCGGACGGGUGAGUAAUGCCUAGGAAAUUGCCCUGAUGUGGGGGAUAACCAUUGGAAACGAUGGCUAAUACCGCAUGAUGCCUACGGGCCAAAGAGGGGGACCUUCGG
rnacentral:rRNA from 1 species